UUCUCCACCAUCUCAUACACCUGCUUUCACAUGUCUUUAUUUUCCAUUUGACCAUGAACAUCACUGUUAUAUUCCAAAUUCUUACAGGGUUAGCCUCACCAAACCACGGGCAAUGACUGUGGUGUCUUCAUACUGAUGUAUGCACUCAACUUCAGCACAGAUGCUCUACUUUGGUUUACCGAGCGGGACAUAGCACAGAUCCGGAAAUGGUGGUGCAUUAUGCUCAUGGAACGGUACCAGAU